rnacentral:rRNA from 1 species
UUCCGUAGGUGAACCUGCGGAAGGAUCAUUUACACGAAUGUCCAACAUUUAAAACCAGAAUCUAAUUGUGAAGUCUAACUGUUCGCAGUUGGACUUCAACGGUGGGGUUUCUCGUUGAUUCGCCUGUGGAUCGGUGAGAGGCUCUAUCACUCUUGAAAACCUUUUAAAACUUUUCCAGUAUUUUUAAGGUGAUUUCUUUGAAAUCUAUUAUUUUCACAACUUUUAGCGAUGGAUGCCUCGGCUCGGAUAACGAUGAAGGACGCAGCAAAAUGCGAUAAGCGCCGUGAAUGGCAGAAUUCCGUGAAUCAAGAGAACGCUGAACGCAUACUGCACUUUCAGGUCACUCCUGAAAGUAUGUCUGUUUCAGGGCGAUAAUGCAUAAAUGCUCUCAAUAUCUACAAUUUGCAACUGCAGUUGUGAUGCUGAGUAGCGUCGUUGUGUGUCAGUGUAUGAAUAUCCAUUGACGCAUCAAAUUAAGAUGAAUUUUUCAGCAAGCUUUCGCUGCGUGGUUUCUAAAAUCUCUAAGUGAAGCUUUGAUGAGUUCAUUUCUUUCUUCUCUCGCAGAUUAACCUCUGCAAUUGUUGCUUUUCGCAUGAAAUUAGACAAGGCUACCCGCUGAAUUUAAGCAUAUCAAUA